GGGGAGCGUUCUGUAAGCCGUUGAAGGUGGCCUGUGAGGGUUGCUGGAGGUAUCAGAAGUGCGAAUGCUGACAUAAGUAACGAUAAUGCGGGUGAAAAACCCGCACGCCGGAAGACCAAGGGUUCCUGUCCAACGUUAAUCGGGGCAGGGUGAGUCGACCCCUAAGGCGAGGCCGAAAGGCGUAGUCGAUGGGAAACAGGUUAAUAUUCCUGUACUUGGUGUUACUGCGAAGGGGGGACGGAGAAGGCUAUGUUGGCCGGGCGACGGUUGUCCCGGUUUAAGCAUGUAGGCGGAUG
rnacentral:rRNA from 1 species